UAUAUCGGAACGUGCCCAGUCGUGGGGGAUAACGUAGCGAAAGCUACGCUAAUACCGCAUACGAUCAUGGAUGAAANCGGGGGAUCGCAAGACCUCGCGCGAUUGGAGCGGCCGAUAUCAGAUUAGGUAGUUGGUGAGGUAAAGGGCUCACCAAGCCGACGAUCUGUAGCUGGUCUGAGAGGACGACCAGCCACACUGGGACUGAGACACGGCCCAGACUCCUACGGGAGGCAGCAGUGGGGAAUUUUGGACAAUGGGCGCAAGCCUGAUCCAGCAAUGCCGCGUGCAGGAUGAAGGCCUUCGGGUUGUAAACUGCUUUUGUACGGAACGAAACGGUGAGCUCUAAUACAGUUUGCUAAUGACGGUACCGUAAGAAUAAGCACCGGCUAACUACGUG
rnacentral:rRNA from 1 species